rnacentral:rRNA from 1 species
AGUGAACGCUGGCGGUAGGCCUAACACAUGCAAGUCGAACGGCAGCACAGUAAGAGCUUGCUCUUACGGGUGGCGAGUGGCGGACGGGUGAGGAAUACAUCGGAAUCUACUUUUUCGUGGGGGAUAACGUAGGGAAACUUACGCUAAUACCGCAUACGACCUACGGGUGAAAGCAGGGGAUCUUCGGACCUUGCGCGAUUGAAUGAGCCGAUGUCGGAUUAGCUAGUUGGCGGGGUAAAGGCCCACCAAGGCGACGAUCCGUAGCUGGUCUGAGAGGAUGAUCAGCCACACUGGAACUGAGACACGGUCCAGACUCCUACGGGAGGCAGCAGUGGGGAAUAUUGGACAAAGGGCGCAAGCCUGAUCCAGCCAUACCGCGUGGGUGAAGAAGGCCUUCGGGUUGUAAAGCCCUUUUGUUGGGAAAGAAAAGCAGCAGGUUAAUACCCCGCUGUCCUGGCGGUACCCAAAGAAUAAGCACCGGCUAACUUCGUG